AAAUUGAAGAGUUUGAUCAUGGCUCAGAUUGAACGCUGGCGGCAGGCCUAACACAUGCAAGUCGAACGGUAACAGGAAACAGCUUGCUGUUUCGCUGACGAGUGGCGGACGGGUGAGUAAUGUCUGGGAAACUGCCUGAUGGAGGGGGAUAACUACUGGAAACGGUAGCUAAUACCGCAUAACGUCGCAAGACCAAAGAGGGGGACCCUCGGGCCUCUUGCCAUCGGAUGUGCCCAGAUGGGAUUAGCUUGUUGGUGGGGUAACGGCUCACCAAGGCGACGAUCCCUAGCUGGUCUGAGAGGAUGACCAGCCACACUGGAACUGAGACACGGUCCAGACUCCUACGGGAGGCAGCAGUGGGGAAUAUUGCACAAUGGGCGCAAGCCUGAUGCAGCCAUGCCGCGUGUAUGAAGAAGGCCUUCGGGUUGUAAAGUACUUUCAGCGGGGAGGAAGGGAGUAAAGUUAAUACCUUUGCUCAUUGACGUUACCCGCAGAAGAAGCACCGGCUAACUCCGUGCCAGCAGCCGCGGUAAUACGGAGGGUGCAAGCGUUA
rnacentral:rRNA from 1 species